CGGGUGCAUAAGAAAGUAGGCUGAGCAAGCUAUAGAGAGCAAGCCAAGAUCCCUCCAUGGCCUCUGUUUUGGUUCCUGCCUCCAGGUUCCCACUGUCCUGGCUUCCCUUGGUGAUGGACUUAUAUGCUGUCUGUCUGAAGGAUCACCAAGCACCGCCCCCCACCAAUCAGGUCAGGAUGAGAGCUGUGGCCAGAAGCUGAGAAAGGUGACUUGGUCUCAUUCCUUCUGUUCCUGUGCCAUCAGAUCCCAUGGGCCAGUAACCAGUAUCAACAUGCAAAUGUUCUUCAUGACGUCAUCCAUAAGAGUUGAAAGAAGAACAGGACCCGAAUGCCUGUCACCUGAGAAAAGGGCAUAUUAGAUGCAGUUAGUCCAUACAAUGAAAUAUUGUUCAUCAAUAAAAGGGGUUAUCUCAA